rnacentral:rRNA from 1 species
GGAGUUUGGACCGUGUCUCAGUUCCAAUGUGGGGGACCUUCCUCUCAGAACCCCUACCGAUCGAGGGCUUGGUGGGCCGUUACCCCGCCAACAACCUAAUCGGACGCAUCCCCAUCCCUUAGCGAUAAAUCUUUGGUUCACUUCAGAUGUCCUCGACGAACAACAUAGGGUAUUAAUCCGACUUUCGCCGGGCUAUGCCCUACUAAGGGGAAGGUUGGAUACGCGUUACUCACCCGUGCGCCGGUCGCCAUCGGAGGUUGCAAGCAACCUCCAUGCUGCCCCUCGACUUGCAUGUGUUAAGCCUGUAGCUAGCGUUCAUC